rnacentral:rRNA from 1 species
UACGGAGGGUGCAAGCGUUGUCCGGAUUUAUUGGGUUUAAAGGGUGCGUAGGCGGUCUUUUAAGUCAGUGGUGAAAUCCUCCAGCUUAACUGGAGAACUGCCAUUGAUACUGAAAGACUUGAGUACAGACGAGGUAGGCGGAAUUGACAGUGUAGCGGUGAAAUGCAUAGAUAUUGUCAAGAACACCGAUUGCGAAGGCAGCUUACUAGACUGUAACUGACGCUGAGGCACGAAAGUGCGGGGAUCAAACAGG